GUUAGUUGCAUCCUUCAUGUAGAUCCUGCAAACGCUGUUGACGAGAGUUUGUGUAUUAGGCCGGACGAUGUUCCUGACGUGAAAGUUGAAAAAUUGGUAAGGCGUAUUAUGGCCAAUCAAGACAUCCCGAAGGAUAUGUUUAAAGGGGGUGUCACUAAAGCGGAUGUAGAGAAGAUGCGGGAGAAGGCUAAGGAAGGAGGGAAACGUAAACAACAGCGUCAGAAACCAAAAGCAGGAGCUACACCCGUCGUGGAGGAGCCAAAUAUAACUUCGCCAAAUAUAACUUUUGUUGUCCAAUCCAUCAUCAGACCAGAGAUUGAGAGGAUGGAGGGGACGGUGGCUGCUGCGGUUGCAUCAGCGAUUGAUGCUUCUUCGAAUGCUCUUGCUUACAAGGCGUCUGUUGUUGCUACCGUAGAGGAGAUGUUAUCAGCGUUCAAAACUGAAAUACUUUCUUUCUUCCCUAGCAUUAGUACUCAGAUGGAAAGCCAUAGGCAACAACCCACACCCCAGCCUGGUGGAUUGAGUACCGGAUUUGUACCUGAAAACACAACCCCUCGGCGGGGCAAUGAAAAUGACAACAUUAUAGAGAACGUGAUGGAAAAUAUCAGUCAUUACUCAACGCCCCUGAGUCGGGAAAUAAAUGCAGUGGUUCUGAGGCACAGUCUCGUCGUGAGGGCUCUCACGUGUCAUCAGUUCCAAAUGGAGAAAAGAGUAACAAGGUAACCGAACAUGUGAGUGGUCAUACUACAAAACCUAGCUCUGCCAAACGUUUGUCAGUCAAUGGUUCUGAGGCACAGUCUCGUCGUGAGGGUUCUCCCGUAUCAUCCGUUCCAAAUGGAGAAAAAAGUAACAACGAUUCCGAAAAUGGGAAUGUCCAGGCUACAAAAUCUAGCUCUGCCAAACGUUUGUCAGUCAAUUUUCAGAAUCUCCGAGGGAGGGGGCCAACGAGCCAACAGGUGAUGUAUCACAACCUCAAAAUGUUUUCACUUCUUCCGUCUCUGCCCACAGCCAGACACACGAAGGAUCUGAUGAAAAUGCUGUCAACGUAUCUGUCGAACCUGAGAAUCCUUCUUUCUCACUUGGCCUAACUCAGGAAAUUGGCACGACGGUCCAGGAUGAGGAAGACGACCAGAUGGGAGAGAAUCAUAAUAAUCUGCCUGUACAAGAGGACGACGCGAUGGGAGAGAAUCAUAAUAAUCUGCAUGUACAAGAGGACGACGCGAUGGGAGAGAAUCAUAAUAAUCUGCUUGUACAAGAGGACGACGCGAUGGGAGAGAAUCAUAAUAAUUUGGUUGUACAAGAGAAGGAACCAGAUGUUUGUGAAAAUGAGGACAGCUUCAGUUGCCGUAAAAGCAAACACCUCAAGAAGGUUCCUACACAGCUUAUCACUGAUUACCAGUGUGGCACCUCCCUUCUAAACCGUGCACGGGAAGGGCCUAUGUUUUGGAGCACAUAUUAUGACUCCUCCGUCGUAUGUGACAAGUAUCUCCGCUUGAAGUUUCUUCUAAAGAAAGACUGGUGUGUUCUUCUUAUUUCCGUAUUACAUACAGAGUUUUAUUUAUUAAUACUUAUCUAGCCUGCAAAUCAUGUACUCCUCCUAAUCCGGUUUUUGUCUACCUGCUAUUUCGUUUCAAUGUCAUCAAUGUGUGUGGCUUAUCUGUUACCGGGAAAGACAUUGUUGAUAUCGGAGAAAGAGAACGCCUCCUCCCAGACAUAGUUGUUGACAUACUAACAAAGGUUGUGUCAACCAACUUCAACAAUCUCUGUCUGGGUCGCAGCGAGAAUACUCCUGUCUUUCUUGAUAGUCGGGUUCAUGGCCUGCUUGCAAGGAAUUAUCCAAAGUUUUAAAAAGCAAAUCCCAAGGAUGGAUAUGUUUUCACAAAGGCUAUGGUGGAUUGUGUUAGAAAAGGUUACUCUGACGUCUCCACGGUGACACGCUUCUACAUGCCAGUCAACGUUAACCGUGGUCAUUGGGUAGGGCUAUGUGUGGAUGUGUCUUCUUCCAAGAUAUUCGUUUUCUAUUGCAACCCCGUACUGACGAUGGACAGUGCAUUGCUUAAAGAGCUUCUACCCAUCUCUGAGAUGUUGCCUUAUCUUCUGAAACAUUUGGGGAAUGUGGUACAGCCAGCUGGGAACCGAUUGCUUGUUGAGAGAGUAAAGCGAAUUCCGCUUAUCAGUAAUCCUGCAGAUGCAGCGUUGACUGCUGCUCUGUUGAUUCAGUCACAUGCCAUGUUUGGUUCCGACGCUUGUAAGAGCAUCACUACGUCAAUCAUUCCCGUGGAAGCGCAAAGGGCGGCGGUUAUGGUUUAUGAGUUUCAUCAGAAGUUGUAGAGCACCUUUUUUUACUAUUUCAAUGUCUGGCUAUGAUUCCUGUUACUGAAAUGUUGCUAAGUACUUCCAAACUUGCAUUCAGCAUUAUGGUUAUUUUAUCUAUGUUUUAUUUAUGUUUGACUAUGAAAUGAUUGUUGUUAAGUCAAAAGGUUCGGUAACU